UACGGGGGGGGCAAGCGUUGUUCGGAAUUACUGGGCGUAAAGGGCGCGUAGGCGGUCAGCACAAGUCAAUUGUGAAAUCUCCGAGCUUAACUCGGAAAGGUCAACUGAAACUGUGCGACUAGAGUGCGGAAGGGGCAACUGGAAUUCUUGGUGUAGCGGUGAAAUGCGUAGAUAUCAAGAGGAACACCUGCGGCGAAGGCGGGUUGCUGGGCCGACACUGACGCUGAAGCGCGAAAGCCAGGGAGCGAACGGG
rnacentral:rRNA from 1 species